UACAGAGGAGCCAAGCGUUGUCCGGAUUGACUGGGCGUAAAGCGCACGCAGGCGGUCGCGCGCGUGGGGUGUGAAAUCUGGCCGCUUAACGGCCAGGCGCCAUCCCAUGCGGCACGACUGGAGUGAUGCAGAGGUCGAUGGAAUUGCCGGUGUAGCGGUGAAAUGCGCAGAUAUCAGGAAGAACACCCGUGGCGAAGGCGGCUCUCUGGGACGGUACUGACGCUGAGACGCGAAAGCGUGGGGAGCGAACAGG
rnacentral:rRNA from 1 species